GAUGAACGCUGGCGGCGUGCCUAAUACAUGCAAGUCGAGCGAACAGACGAGGAGCUUGCUCCUCUGACGUUAGCGGCGGACGGGUGAGUAACACGUGGAUAACCUACCUAUAAGACUGGGAUAACUUCGGGAAACCGGAGCUAAUACCGGAUAAUAUAUUGAACCGCAUGGUUCAAUAGUGAAAGACGGUUUUGCUGUCACUUAUAGAUGGAUCCGCGCCGCAUUAGCUAGUUGGUAAGGUAACGGCUUACCAAGGCAACGAUGCGUAGCCGACCUGAGAGGGUGAUCGGCCACACUGGAACUGAGACACGGUCCAGACUCCUACGGGAGGCAGCAGUAGGGAAUCUUCCGCAAUGGGCGAAAGCCUGACGGAGCAACGCCGCGUGAGUGAUGAAGGUCUUCGGAUCGUAAAACUCUGUUAUUAGGGAAGAACAAAUGUGUAAGUAACUAUGCACGUCUUGACGGUACCUAAUCAGAAAGCCACGGCUAACUG
rnacentral:rRNA from 1 species